UGUCACAUCAAGGCCGCCGCUGGUAAAGUCAUCUACCCCCGGGUAGGAAAAGACCUUCUUAAUGGGAUGACCAGCCACUGAGCCUGGUUACCAGGAGGCCGUGUUUUCAGUUCACCCAGACACAGGGCUCCGGGUUCCUCCUGGUUAGUGAGAUGCUUUAGCCAACAGAGAGAUGUUUCUGAAAAACACUUAAAAACCAGUCUGGUGGGAAGUGGAUCUGUCACCAAAUGAUUUGGUUCUUAAACGUUGGUAACCUGUGAAUUCCCUAAUCAAAAAUUCUCCCCCCGCCUUACAAUCUGACAUUAAAUCUUUAGAAAGAAUGAUUGUUAAUGCUUCAGGCUGAAGGUGGGGAACGCGACCCAAGGAAAAAAUCCAUAUUCUUUAAGUUAAUCAGUGUUUGUGUUGUAGGCAGAACCCAAAUCCAAACCAUAUUUCCCCAAAAGGUUUUCCCCUCUUCAUUCUCAAAUCCAUGUGCAUUAGAUAAGAAACCCAAGCCGUAUGUUUCUUACUCAUUUACACUUAACUCAUCAAAGCAUUUCCUCUGAAGAACUAUUUGAUGUCCAAGGAGACGUUGAGAUGGUUUCUCUUUAACAAACCUUUGUUCUUAGACAUAAAGGAGCUGCUGAAAUUGUAUACACAAAGAAUAAAUGAACUUGAACCUCAGAAAGGUUAAACUCUGUUUAAGUAGGUUCUAUAUUUGGAAGAAACAACUUUAGGAAUGAGCUGUUUUUCUUAAAAAAAAAAAUUUUUUUUAGGAGGGGCCUCCAAUGGACUUGGAUUUUUAUGCCAAAACAAUUUUCUCUCCGCUCUUGGUACGCACCACUGGCUGAUAAAAUCCAUCUCUGUAAGGCGUUCUGAGGUGGUCUUCAACUUUUCAGUUGGAAGAGGCCGCACCUAAUUUUGAUCUCUCUCUGAUAAUUUGUGGCAAAAUCUGCCCAGGGGAGAUGCAUCCUUCUGGAUUCCAGCGUGUGCGUUGAGGAGAACAAAGCUCCUUAGGAAAGAGGCGCCCUGCAACCGUAGGGCCCCCUCCCUGGGGCCCUUCCACCCGGACCAUGCCCAAGCCAGCUCAGAAACAGUGUCAUGGGCCUGUGAGGGCGGGAAGAAGCAGAAGACGCUGCCCCUGCCUCUGAGAGGUUCACUAUUUCACGGGGGAAAAAAGCUUCCCACCUGAGAAGCGCAUCCGCUGUGUGUUCGAUGGCUGUUCCAGAACCUCCAAAAAGAGAAGGAUGGUCAGGGAUGGACAGAGCAGGAAAAGUUCCCAGAGCCAGUGGGCCCUGGGGCCGGAACCGCAGUCUGAGUCCUGAUACAGCUGUACCCAGGCGAAGACACAAGGUGCCCUGGGCUGGCUCAGUCGGGCAUGUCUGCGUGGAAAGCGGUCCGCGCUGGACUGGUGGGCUAGCCUUAGGCUGAGGUACCGAAGACCAUGGAUGGCCCACCCUGUGGUCCUCACAAUACAAUAUUGCUGCUUCUCCGUGGGGUCUCUGCUGCCUCUGAGGCAGAGCAUGGAUGCUUUUGGUUGUCCCAGUGACUGGAGGACUCCACGGGUCUUCAGCAGGCGUCCAGGGUACAUGGGAAUACAAGAUGUCCUGCAGCACACAGGAGGGUUCUGAACGAUGAACCAUGAUUCUGGAGUCCUCCAUUUCUAACUAUCCCGCUGGAUAUUCAUUUAAGUGAACAACCUGUAAGUCUCUGAACCUAGAAUCUAACUCGUUUCCAUAUUACACACAUAGUUUUUCUCCACUUAGUACUCAGUUUCACAAGAAUGUAACCACAUAAAUAAAAAUGUUGUACAAUUUUUGUUUUGUUGGAACUUGA